rnacentral:rRNA from 1 species
UACAGAGGUCUCAAGCGUUGUUCGGAUUCAUUGGGCGUAAAGGGUGCGUAGGUGGCGCGCUAAGUCAGGUGUGAAAUUUCGGAGCUUAACUCCGAAACUGCAUUCGAUACUGCGGUGCUUGAGGACUGGAGAGGAGACUGGAAUUCAUGGUGUAGCAGUGAAAUGCGUAGAGAUCAUGAGGAAGACCAGUGGCGAAGGCGGGUCUCUGGACAGUUCCUGACACUGAGGCACGAAGGCCAGGGGAGCAAACGGG